AGAGUUUGAUCCUGGCUCAGAACGAACGCUGGCGGCAGGCCUAACACAUGCAAGUCGAGCGAGACCUUCGGGUCUAGCGGCGGACGGGUUAGUAACGCGUGGGAACGUACCCUUUUCUAAGGAAUAGCCACUGGAAACGGUGAGUAAUGCCUUAUACGCCCUUCGGGGGAAAGAUUUAUCGGAGAAGGAUCGGCCCGCGUUAGAUUAGAUAGUUGGUGGGGUAAUGGCCUACCAAGUCUACGAUCUAUAGCUGGUUUGAGAGGAUGAUCAGCAACACUGGGACUGAGACACGGCCCAGACUCCUACGGGAGGCAGCAGUGGGGAAUCUUAGACAAUGGGCGCAAGCCUGAUCUAGCCAUGCCGCGUGAGUGAUGAAGGCCUUAGGGUCGUAAAGCUCUUUCGCCUGUGAAGAUAAUGACUGUAGCAGGUAAAGAAACCCCGGCUAACUCCGUGCCAGCAGCCGCGGUAAUACGGAGGGGGUUAGCGUUGUUCGGAAUUACUGGGCGUAAAGCGCGCGUAGGCGGACAUUUAAGUCAGGGGUGAAAUCCCGGGGCUCAACCCCGGAACUGCCCUUGAUACUGGGUGUCUUGAGUUCGAGAGAGGUGAGUGGAAUUCCGAGUGUAGAGGUGAAAUUCGUAGAUAUUCGGAGGAACACCAGUGGCGAAAGCGGCUCACUGGCUCGAUACUGACGCUGAGGUGCGAAAGUGUGGGGAGCAAACAGGAUUAGAUACCC
rnacentral:rRNA from 1 species